rnacentral:tRNA from 1 species
GAGCUUUUAUGUAUGAAAAACGGGGAUAAUUGUAUUGUGUCCGCUUAUAAUAGCUUUUAUACUAAGAAAAAGAAAAAAAGUUGGAGGCACCU